AUGAACGCUGGCGGCGUGCCUAAUACAUGCAAGCCGAGCGAACGGACGAGAAGCUUGCUUCUCUGAUGUUAGCGGCGGACGGGUGAGUAACACGUGGAUAACCUACCUAUAAGACUGGGAUAACUUCGGGAAACCGGAGCUAAUACCGGAUAAUAUUUUGAACCGCAUGGUUCAAAAGUGAAAGACGGUCUUGCUGUCACUUAUAGAUGGAUCCGCGCUGCAUUAGCUAGUUGGUAAGGUAACGGCUUACCAAGGCAACGAUGCAUAGCCGACCUGAGAGGGUGAUCGGCCACACUGGAACUGAGACACGGUCCAGACUCCUACGGGAGGCAGCAGUAGGGAAUCUUCCGCAAUGGGCGAAAGCCUGACGGAGCAACGCCGCGUGAGUGAUGAAGGUCUUCGGAUCGUAAAACUCUGUUAUUAGGGAAGAACAUAUGUGUAAGUAACUGUGCACAUCUUGACGGUACCUAAUCAGAAAGCCACGGCUAACUACGUG
rnacentral:rRNA from 1 species